UACGGAGGGAGCUAGCGUUAUUCGGAAUUACUGGGCGUAAAGCGCACGUAGGCGGCUUUGUAAGAUAAGAGGUGAAAGCCCAGAGCUCAACUCUGUAAUUGCCUUUUAGACUGCAUCGCUUGAAUCAUGGAGAGGUCAGUGGAAUUCCGAGUGUAGAGGUGAAAUUCGUAGAUAUUCGGAAGAACACCAGUGGCGAAGGCGGCUGACUGGACAUGUAUUGACGCUGAGGUGCGAAAGCGUGGGGAGCAAACAGG
rnacentral:rRNA from 1 species